rnacentral:rRNA from 1 species
AACGAACGCUGGCGGCAGGCUGAACUCAUUCAAGUCGAUCGCCCCGCAAGGGGAGUGUCAGAAGGGUGAGUAACGCGUGGGAAUCUACCCAGUUCUACGGAACAACUGAGGGAAACUGCUGCUAAUACCGCAUACGCCCUCUUCGGGAAAGAUUUAUCGCCUACAGAUUAGCCGGCGUCGGAUUAGCUAGGUGGUAAGGUAACGACUUACCAAGGUUACGAUCGGUAGAUGGUCUGAGAGGUUGACCAGCCACACUGGGACUGAGGCACGGGCCAGACCGCUACGGGAGGCAGCAGUGGGAGAUAUUGGACAAGGGGCGCAAGCCUGAUCCAGCCAUGCCGCGUGUGUGAUGAAGGCGUUAGGGUUGUACAGCUCUGUCGACGGGGACGAUGAUGACGGUACCCGUAGAAGAAGCCCCGGCUAACUUCGUGCCAGCCGCCGCGGUAAUAC